rnacentral:rRNA from 1 species
CCUACGGGUGGCAGCAGUGAGGAAUAUUGGUCAAUGGCCGUAAGGCUGAACCAGCGAAGUCGCGUGAGGGAUGAAGGUUCUAUGGUUUGUAAACUUCUUUUAUAGGGGAGUACAGGUACCCACGUAUUGAUAUUUGCAUGUACCCUAUGAAUAAGCAUCGGCUAACCCAGUACCAGCAGCCGCGGUACUACGGAGGAUGCGAGCGGUAGCCGGAUUGAUUGGGUUUAAAGUGUUCGUAGGGUGUUUUUUAAGUCAGGGGUGAAAGUUCGUGGCUGAACGAUAGAAUUGCCGUUGAAACUGGAAGACUGGAGUGUGUUUGAGGUAGGCGGAAUGCGUGGUGUAGGGGUGAAAUGCAUAGAUAUCACGAAGAACUCCGAUUGCGAAGGCAGCUAACUAAGACAUAACUGACACUGAAGAACGAAAGCGUGGGGAUCAAACAGGAUUAGAUACCCUUGUAGUC